rnacentral:rRNA from 1 species
UACAGAGGGUGCGAGCGUUGUCCGGAAUCACUGGGCGUAAAGGGCGCGUAGGUGGCCACCAUAAGGCCGCGGUGAAAGUCUGGGGCUCGAACCCCGGAUCGGCCGCGGCGACUGUGGGGCGUAGGGUACCGGUAGAGGCAGAUGGAAUUCCGGGUGUAGCGGUGGAAUGCGUAGAGAUCCGGAAGAACACCAGUGGCGAAGGCGGUCUGCUGGGCGGUGGGACCGAAAGGUCUC